rnacentral:rRNA from 1 species
AUUGAACGCUGGCGGCAUGCUUUACACAUGCAAGUCGAACGGUAACAGGCCUUCGGGUGCUGACGAGUGGCGAACGGGUGAGUAAUGCAUCGGAACGUACCCAGAGGUGGGGGAUAACGCAGCGAAAGCUGUGCUAAUACCGCAUGUGAUCUGAGGAUGAAAGCGGGGGACCGAGCAGCAAUGUUUGGCCUCGCGCCUUUGGAGCGGCCGAUGUCGGAUUAGCUAGUUGGUGGGGUAAAGGCCUACCAAGGCGACGAUCCGUAGCUGGUCUGAGAGGACGACCAGCGACACUGGGACUGAGACACGGGCCAGACUCCUACGGGAGGCAGCAGUGGGGAAUUUUGGACAAUGGGCGCAAGCCUGAUCCAGCAAUGCCGCGUGCGGGAAGAAGGCCUUCGGGUUGUAAACCGCUUUUGGCAGGAACGAAACGGUGUCCGCUAAUACCGAGCGCUAAUGACGGUACCUGCAGAAUAAGCACCGGCUAACUACGUG